rnacentral:rRNA from 1 species
GUGCGAGCGUUAAUCGGAAUUACUGGGCGUAAAGCGUGCGCAGGCGGUUUUGUAAGCCAGAUGUGAAAUCCCCGGGCUUAACCUGGGAAUGGCAUUUGGGACUGCAAGGCUGGAGUGCGGCAGAGGAGACUGGAAUUCCUGGUGUAGCAGUGAAAUGCGUAGAUAUCAGGAGGAACACCGAUGGCGAAGGCAGGUCUCUGGGCUGACACUGACGCUCAUGCACGAAAGCGUGGGGAGCAAACAGG